CUACGAGUGGCAGCAGUGAGGAAUAUUGCACAAUGGGGGGAACCCUGAUGCAGCAACGCCGCGUGGAGGAUGACGCAUUUCGGUGUGUAAACUCCUUUUAUAUGUCAAGAAAAUGACGGUAGCAUAUGAAUAAGCACCGGCUAACUCCGUGCCAGCAGCCGCGGUAAUACGGAGGGUGCAAGCGUUACUCGGAAUCACUGGGCGUAAAGGACGCGUAGGCGGGUUGGAAAGUCAGGUAUGAAAUCCUACAGCUUAACUGUAGAACUGCACUUGAAACUUCUAAUCUAGAGUAUGGGAGGGGGAGAUGGAAUUAGUGGUGUAGGGGUAAAAUCCGUAGAUAUCACUAGGAAUACCUAAAGCGAAGGCGAUCUCCUGGAACAUUACUGACGCUAAGGCGUGAAAGCGUGGGGAGCAAACAGGAUUAGAUACCCGGGUAGUC
rnacentral:rRNA from 1 species